CAGCCAAUCGUCAAAACAAAGCCAAGUUGAUUGCAUAUUUAAAUGAAAUGAAAGAAGUGAAAGUUAGGAUGUUUGUGGUGUUGAAUUAUAAUGUUUAAGGUUAAUUUGAUGGACCGGCGUUUUAGGAUAUCCAUAUGGAGAACAUCAAUUUGUCUUCGAUGGUUCUGUGACACUUUCAUCUGGAAGGCACUAUGCAUGUCAAGUUUGAUGCUCUCUUUGUAUUUUAAAAAGGGACUCAUUCAUUUCUUUAUAGGAUGUUGCAUAUGUAUACCUUUUUAAUGCCUGGUACUCUAUAAUUACAGUAUCUCAUGGAUUGUGGAUUCUUUUCUUCUAAUACAUUUUGAUGUGUUAUCUAAGUGAACUUCAUUAAUCCAAAUCAAACACAUCUAACAUCAAUACCGUGCACUUAGCAUUACUCAUAUACACCGAAUGAUGUUUUUUCCCUUUUCUUCUUAUGUAGCACUUACAUUGUAGGUAGUAUUGUUGCCUAUAUUGCAACAUAUGCAGAUACAUGUAGGUAGUAAUAUCGCCUAUAUUGAUCAGUAUUGUUAUUAACUUAUUCAUCUGAGUACCAACUUGGUUUUGGCAAACUUACUUAUUCAGAAUCUUCAUGAAGAAGGAGAAAUCCGGAGAAUUACUUGCUAGAGAUAUUGCCUAUAUUUGUUAUGUACGAACAAAUGAAGGGCUACAUGGAUUGAUGGAGAAUAGAUUUCCAAACUAGCAAUAUGGUAGUAGUAUAGGAGUAUCUCAGUGAAAUAGAGGUAGGAAUUAUGUACAUGGGGCUGAGUUGUAUAGCCUAGCUUUGUCAAUACGAUACUUGGUAAUUAAUGAAAAUGAUAGUUACCAAAAAAAAAACUUACUAAUUUUUCAUGUUUAUGUGCGGCUCUUACCAUGAUCAUAAACAGAAGUAUGAAUAAUCUAACCAUACUUUUUAUUUUGUUGAGAAUGAACACUUACCAUCAAUAUUUAUUUAUCAAAUAAUAACCUUCUAUAGUAUUUAACAAGAAGCAUGGUUACACUGAAAACAUAUAGUACUACUCACUAUAAAACUAUUUAUGUGCAGCUGUUGCCUUGGUCGUGAAUAGAAGUAUGAACAAUUUGACCGUACUUUUUCUUUUGUGUAGAAAUAAUACUUUAUCAUCAAUAUUUGUAUAUCGAAUAAGAACCUUCUAUAACAUUUAACUGGGGUAUGGUUACAAUGACAACGUAUGGUACUACUCAGUACUCACUAUAAAACUACUUAUGUGCAGCUCUUGCAUUACUGUGAAUAGAAGUAUGAACAAUCUGUGCGUACUUUUUCUUUUGUUGAGAGAGCAUCAAUAUUUGUGCAUCAAAUAAGAAGGUUCUAUGACAUUUAACAGAGACAUGGAUACACUGACAAUAUAUAGUAAUACUCACUAAAACUACGUUUCUACUAAGCUUAUCUAUCUAUGUAAACUAAGUUACUGGAUAACUGAUGAAGACAUUUUGUGCAUUGCUGAUAAAAUGUUGCAGAUUUUAUGCGAUUCCUCUUCCUACAACAGAAUUUAACAGAAUGAUCAGGAAAAAGGAUAAUGAUGGCAACUACUUUGUCAGCUCUUGCUAUAAGCUUUUAACCUUAAGCCCUCCUUCACAUAACUGGCAAUUGAACUUAUAUGGAAAUGUAUAUAGGCUCCUUACUUCUAGCCCUCCUCUCCAUAGUUAUUGAUUUUAUUUGAACAACAUUGCACAAUUAUUGUCUGACAAAAAGUUAUACCUUGUGUAAUAGAUUUUAACUUUACUCCAGUAACUCAGAAGACAUAAGUUUUUCUUUGCAUUGUCCCAUAGCUACUCAACAAUGCAAGUAUUUUAUCUAUGUUUGUAGUUAAAUGGAAUCACGCCUGGUGAUCCAAGAGGUGCUACCGGCAGCUUUUGAAACGAAGAUAGGAACACAAGGACGUUCGAACGCAGUACCUGCUUGAAUACUAUGGGCAAGCUAAAAGAAACAAACUACUGAUGUUCUGAAGUUGCAAUAUACACACGAGAAUGCAAAUACAGAUUUGAAGAUGCAUCGACGAUAUACACACAAGAAGGCAAAUGUCUGCACCUGUUAACUUUUUGACUAACUUACAAGAUGUAUAUAACUUACUACAUAACAUUUGGUGUUAAUUAAUAAAGUAGAUCACGUAUUCUAGGAUUCUGUUGUUGAAGUGUUGGUCGUUGGGCCCGUG
rnacentral:lncRNA from 1 species